rnacentral:rRNA from 1 species
AUUGAACGCUGGCGGCAUGCCUUACACAUGCAAGGUCGAACGGCAGCGGACCUUCGGGUGCCGGCGAGUGGCGAACGGGUGAGUAAUAUAUCGGAACGUACCUUCAGUGGGGGAUAACGUAGCGAAAGUUACGCUAAUACCGCAUAUUCUGUGAGCAGGAAAGCAGGGGAUCGCAAGACCUUGCGCUGAUUGAGCGGCCGAUAUCAGAUUAGCUAGUUGGUGAGGUAAAGGCUCACCAAGGCGACGAUCUGUAGCGGGUCUGAGAGGAUGAUCCGCCACACUGGAACUGAGACACGGUCCAGACUCCUACGGGAGGCAGCAGUGGGGAAUUUUGGACAAUGGGCGCAAGCCUGAUCUAGCCAUGCCGCGUGAGUGAAGAAGGCCUUCGGGUUGUAAAGCUCUUUCGGCCGGGAAGAAAUCGCACAGGUUAAUACCCUGUGUGGAUGACGGUACCGGAAUAAGAAGCACCGGCUAACUACGUG